AGAGGCAUCACCAGCUCCUGAUGUCACCUCUCAGGCCAGGCCCUGAAGUAGACUUUUAAUUCUUUCGGGGGGGGGGGGUGCGAGACUAGGCAAGAAGCAGUACAUCUCUUGCCACCACAGAUCUAGAAGAAGCCUGUUCUUGGACAGCCGGAGGAAGCUAGAAAAGCUCGGGAGUGGAUCCCAAUCUAACUGGGCUCCUCCGUCAAUGAGUCCAUCUGGUUUGGAAUAAACCCAGAGGCAGAGUUUAAACUGCAGGGCUUCCCGGUGGGCUGCAGUAAAGGCUAGACUGCACUUGAAACCCGCCUCACUCUUCUCCACACCCUGGACCCGCCCCUGGAGUUGCCCUUUGGAAGUAGUGCCUCGAUAUGGUAUACUUGGCUCCUCAAGACCGUUCCCUGGAGAGCCAGCAUCAAACAGGGGAACCUGAGUUCUAAGUGGAUGAACAGUUUUCCCUGAAUUGGAUCCUCAAGACCAGCCACAUGGAAUGAUCGCUGGAGGAUCCAGAGUGAAGGUUGCCUUCUAGAACUCUGUUACCUUGUCUUGUCUCUGUCGAAAUAGCAAUGUCAUUUGAACCCUUGGCUCUCUUCCUGACUAAAUAAUGAUUGCCUUUCCAUC